GCAACGGCUCUGAAUAAAUGACUUUCUGUUAGGUUCAUCAAUGGCUGUUGGCUGUUACAGUUGAAGAACUGGAAAAAAACAUUGUUAUUGUUGAACAAUUAAAAGCAUAUUGUUAUCGUUGAAGAGCUAAAAAUAGAACUGUUACCGUUAAAAAAAAAAAAAAAAAAUCUAUUACCGUUUGAAGACAAUUUUACCUCUUAUAUAAUAGAAUAGUAGGGUAAACUGUUUGUUUAAUGUGUAUGUGCCUCUGUUUUCUGCUAUAAGUUGUUGCACAAUCCUACAUAGGAGAAGAUGAGGAUCGUUGUUCCUAUAAAUUGUUUGCAGAGUGCUUUGUUGAAUUGCUCAAGGAGGCAGGGGAGGUUUAUGGGUUUGAUAGAAAAGGGCCUCUCAAGCUCCCCUGUAGUGUGGAUCGUUGUUAGAAGAUUUGGAGUCAAUCUAGAAAGAGAAAGAAAAUUACAGAGUAUAUCAGAUGUCAAAUUUGUGCCAUUUCUGAAAUUGUGUAAAGCCAGUUAGCAGAAACUGCAAAUGGCCUUGCAAGCAUGACUGAGAUUGUGCAUGAGAGAUUUCGGUUGAGUAGAUGGUUCUGCAGUUGUACUUGGGCUCUGGCAAUUGACAGAGGCGUAAAUACGGUGACAAUUAAUGCAGGUCUCGGUUUAGGGCCUAGCUCCGCAUACAAAACCUCAGGACCCACCAUAGCAUAUGUCAUAGAUUGAUGCAUCAGUGGCACUGAGGCAUUUGCGGACUGUAGUGCGAGAGAGUGUGAUGGCUGUGGGUUUGUCCACAAGAAGUCCUAUAUUUCCUCAUCAGAAUGUGCAAUGUUCAGCUCAUCUGACGUCCUCACAGAGCUCAGCACACUGGAAUUUGGCAGCUCAUAGUGGAAAUAUACUUGGGGUAAGCUUUCUCAUCCUCCUUGUAUUCUGAAGAAACUGACAAAGAGGAAGGAGACUGGUUGAUAGCAUCUAAUAUUGAUUCAGGAACAUGAGCGCCAAUACCCAUUCCUCAGCUGGUGAUAAAAUAGUGGAAGUAACUAAAAGAUAGAGUUAAACAAUCCAUUUGUCCAAAUAUGACUGAAAUAGAAGCUAUAAAUGCAGUUAUAAGUUCUCAAGGCUUUUCCAAAGGCAUGAUAACUGGAGAAGAUGAAAGUCACAAAAUGGAAAAGGAAACAUUUCUGCAUGGCAUAUCGUCUGAUGAUCGAGUCACUCAGCAGUCGUCUAACGUUAGGGAAUCUUUGGAAGGAGAACUUUUUUUUUUAUGCAAAUAAAGAAGAAAUUACAAAAGGAGAAAUGUUGGAAGAGUGUUUUGAAUCUGAAGAUGCAUCAAAUUAAAAAGAAGCUAAAGCAAGAGCUGCAGAAUCCAGUGGCCAUGCAAAUGGAGAAUUAUAGGAUGCACAACAGGAGAAUUCUAAAGUAACUGCUGAGUCGCUGACAAGUUGUAAACUGAAAAAGGAGAAUAAUUUAAUUAUUGACAAGCAAAACAGGAUGCCAUCCAACCAACGUUUGACACAUUCCAGAUCUCUGAAAAUUGGCAAUAUGUCUUGUCAGAGCAAAAAUUCAAGGCUUCCAAAGAGUUCUGUCAUAACAACAAAGAGUUCAAUACAAAGUGGCAAGGACAGAGUUUUAGCAUUUACAAAUAAAGGAAGCAGACCUGAGGUUGAGAAUGUUGAAGUUACAUCAGCUACAUCAAAGAGUCCACUCCAUAAGAAAAUUACCCUCGGAAUCUACAAGGCAAAAUCACACUGUUUCAUAACCUUUUACACUGGCUACUGAUAAAAGGGCUUCAUUUGGAUCGCAACAAACUGGCAGUGAAGCAACUCAGAAACUUUCUAGGCGUGCUAGUGCAAGUAACGUGACAUCCCCAGUGGCUGGAAAGCAGGCCUUCAAGAUCAUCUGAAGCCUCUAAAAGCAAAACAAACAUUGUUGUUGCUUCCACUGUUACCAUAUCUAGAUGUAAUGAACGAGCUAAGAAGCGAAAAGAGGCCUUCAAGAUCAUCUGAAGCCUCUAAAAGCAAAACAAACAUUGUUGUUGCUUCCACUGUUACCAUAUCUAGAUGUAAUGGACGAGCUAAGAAGCGAAAAGAGAAUCGAGAGGAUUAUUGGAAGCAUAAUUGAUCAAGUUCCCAGAGGAUAUGAUCAUGAUUAUGUCCUCAAUUGUGGUGAAACAAAGGAUGGUCUGAAGCAUGCUGUCAAAAUUAAGGAUCCUUCGAGUUCUCAGCUUCUUACUUAAGGAUGGUUUGAAGUAUGCAGUUAUACACAGUACGCAGAUCUACUUUAACAACAUUUCGAUCAGCUUGAAACAUUGAAUACAUGGGAUGCUGAUAAUGUCUGGAUCGGGUUCAAGCAUUUGAUGUGCCAGAUGCACUUUGCAUUCUCUGAUACUAUUGAUAACUAUAGACUCAUAAAUAUCUUUGCUAUGUCUAUAGAGUGAUGCUAGAGUAUCUCAAUACAAAAUCAAUUUUAAUUUUACAGAUGCACUUUUGAAUCAAAUCAAUCAAUUAAUUUAUACAUUGAUAUGUAAAUGGAUUUGUUGUUUAAUAUAAUUUUUUUAUUUGGGAGGGGUUGAAUUUGCCCCCUCCUUUAGGUUC